UAGGGAAUCUUCCGCAAUGGGCGAAAGCCUGACGGAGCAACGCCGCGUGAGUGAUGAAGGUCUUCGGAUCGUAAAACUCUGUUAUUAGGGAAGAACAAAUGUGUAAGUAACUAUGCACGUCUUGACGGUACCUAAUCAGAAAGCCACGGCUAACUACGUGCCAGCAGCCGCGGUAAUACGUAGGUGGCAAGCGUUAUCCGGAAUUAUUGGGCGUAAAGCGCGCGUAGGCGGUUUUUUAAGUCUGAUGUGAAAGCCCACGGCUCAACCGUGGAGGGUCAUUGGAAACUGGAAAACUUGAGUGCAGAAGAGGAAAGUGGAAUUCCGUGUGUAGCGGUGAAAUGCGCAGAGAUAUGGGGGAAAACCAGUGGCGAAGGAGACUUUCUGGUCUGUAACUGACGCUGAUGUGCGAAAGCGUGGGGAUCAAACAGG
rnacentral:rRNA from 1 species